CCCGUGUUCACCUUGCCCAGUUGCACCCAGGGGAAUUGUUAGCGACUACUGAUGCGGCUAUAGGAGCUUUCAGGAAUUUUGCCCGUAGCACAGAGCCUUCCACUCAUUGGUUGGGAAUAGCCCAAGGUCCAAUUGAAUCUUUUCAAGAGUUUGCCGAUAGGCUAAUUAAGGCGGUUGAGGGGUCAGACUUACCCAGAGCUGUCCAUGGCCCUGUAAUCGUGGACUGCCUUAAACAAAGGUCCCUUGAGGAUAUCAAAACUCUGCUUCGCGCGGCUCCUGGGAAAAUCUCUACACCAGGGGAGGUUAUUAGAAGCUGCUGGUGGGAAAACCGAAGCCAACUCCAGAGCAACCGAGGGACAGACGAGGGGACCGAGAACCACUCAUCAAGAGGAGCACCACACCUGCAAUGCCGAUACUUCUGAUACUGCUGAUGUUUAUGGUGUCACCGCGAUGUGAGUCCGGGACCUGAGUGUAACGAUGAUGUUAAGUUGUGGAGUGUCACAGCACAUAUCUUCGCGUCGAUUUUUGCGCCAGGAGUCUCAGCAGCGGCGGCUUUGACCCAAAUAGAAAGAUUGGCAUGUUGGUCUGCAAAACAGGCCAAUACAACCACGCUUGUGUUAAAUGCUAUGCUUGAAGAUCUUAAUAGUGUCCGCCAUGCACUGCUACAGAAUAGAGCAGCUAUUGACUUCUUGCUGUUGGCUCAAGGACAUGGGUGUGAGGAUGUCGAAGGAAUGUGCUGCUUUAACCUCAGUGGUCACAGGAUGUCGAUUCAUAAACAACUACGAUGGAUGCAAGAACAUACACAGAAGAUUAAAGAAGAGAGUGAUCCCUUUGGGAAUUGGCUGAACAGACUGUUUAGGGGAGUGGGUUCAUGGUUAAAGCAAUUGCUUAAGGUUUUUGUGAUAGGGCUUGCAAUCUUUGUAUGUAUUCUGAUCUGUCUUCCAUGCUUUGUAGGAUGCUUGCAGAACUCCUUGCAAUGAAUGAUGGAAAAGACUUUUGACCAUCGGAUUGAGUAUCACAGACUGUGUGAAAGGUUGUAGAAGGGUGUAGGUUGUUGCGUUCGUGCUGCAACGGGGCAAGGCUUGGCCGAGCGCGGGGAGUCAGGUUAUGAGGGCAAAGGACUCCCUGUUGCUCUGAUGUUUUCUUAAAGGAUUGCAGUAAAAGAGUAGUAGAAAUAGUUUGCUGAAAUGUAUUUAGGAUUAGAUGCUUUGCAUUGCUUCGCGAUGUACGGGUUAGACGUAUGUAAGUAGUAUUUAGCUUAGGGAGGGGGAGAUGUUGUAGUAGGCGUUUUGCGGGGUUACGGGAUGUACAGGACAGGCUUCUCCCUAAGCAUAGUGAGACGGUGCUAUUGUGCUCUAACAGACUGACCUUGCUGCCGAGAAAACAAGAAAGAGGAAGGAUGUGAAGGAAUGAGGAAGCAACUAAAUAAGGCACGAUGUUAUCCAGUGCGAACCAAUCAGGGCAGAACAUGACGGCACAGUUGCUUAAGUUAAAAUAUAUAAGCUGUGCAUAGUAGUGAAUAAAUACCAUUUUACUGCUCAUCAUAUUGGUGUACGUUUGCAGUCAUUUGGCCCUGACCAGGUAGUUGGCCAGUACGUGCUAGGGCUAACACAGGAUGCUAACAUCACAGUUGCUGAAGGCAACACCUGUGUACCUCAGGCAUUAAUGUAGGUUGCACUUUGAGGCCAGACCUUAAGAAAUAAUAUUUUGCAACAUCUAGAGGUGCGGUGCUCCCAGUCCCUCAUCCAGAAAGCAAAAGUGGUUAAUAUCCAUUCAAGCCUGUUUAGUUCCUUUCUUUUGAAGCAUAUUUUUAAUAUAAUGAAGCUUCUCAUUCUGCAGAGCAGGUAGGGAGUGAUUCAAUAUAUAAAUUCUUUUGAGACCUAAAUUGCUUUAUUGACAAAUACCAAUGGCCAAUUGAAAUGUCCUUGGGGAUCUCUACCAUUUUCUCUUGUAUGUUAUGAGGAUUUAGGAUUUUGUUUGUGUGUUCUCACCCCAAGUGGAAUAGUAGAAUGCACAACAAAGUGAGCUCGACAGGGGCAGCUACCCCAUGAGGAACAUAUGACUAUUCCUUAAACAGACAGCACCCUAUUAGAUAUUUAUUUUACAGUUUUUCUUUACAGUGACAGUGGAGUACUUCUCCCCAGUACAUAAUUUUCAUGUCAUCUAUUUGAUAUGUAAUACAGUUUCUCGGGAUUGCUAAUAUUCAGUUGAUUAAUUAAAGAGAUAUCACUGAAAAGAACCUUCUUUUCUCUAUGACCUGGCAACUGACUGCUAGAAGGAAAGAAAUGUGUGGCUUGAAUGUGAAAAUUACCAACUGAAAAGUUUUAUGCAAUUGCCUUGACAGA
ensembl:lncRNA